GGCUGACGCCUGCCCGGUGCUGGAAGGUUAAGAGGAGUGGUUAGCUUCUGCGAAGCUACGAAUCGAAGCCCCAGUAAACGGCGGCCGUAACUAUAACGGUCCUAAGGUAGCGAAAUUCCUUGUCGGGUAAGUUCCGACCCGCACGAAAGGCGUAACGAUUUGGGCACUGUCUCAACGAGAGACUCGGUGAAAUCAUAGCACCUGUGAAGAUGCAGGUUACCCGCGACAGGACGGAAAGACCCCGUGGAGCUUUACUGUAGCCUGAUAUUGAAAUUCGGCACAGCUUGUACAGGAUAGGUAGGAGCCUUUGAAACGUGAGCGCUAGCUUACGUGGAGGCGCUGGUGGGAUACUACCCUAGCUGUGUUGGCUUUCUAACCCGCACCACUUAUCGUGGUG
rnacentral:rRNA from 1 species